rnacentral:lncRNA from 1 species
CCUGCCUCUGCCUCCCAAGUGCUGGGAUUAAAGGCAUGCACCACCACCACCACCCUGCUACUUUGCAACUUUUUGUUGGUCUCGAGUCUUUGCUGCGCAUCACUUUGUUGAGAGAGGCACAGCAGAGAACUUCUCCUGGUGUCCCUGCUGGUUCUGGUCACUCCUGAUGACUCAAGCUGAUUUGGCUGAGGCCUGGCUGUUUCUGAUGAUACGUGUUUGCUAUCCUGAUACCACUGAACUGAACUGCUGGAGGGGUGUGAUUUUUGCCGGUUGCAGAUUGUUAUGUUUGGAAUUCUGGGGACUCCUGAGAGGGUAUAAAUGUGAGAGAGCCCCAGAAAGAUCUGUUGUGGCUGCUGCUGGUUCCUGCUGUUGCAUUUGCAGCUUUUGCUGCAAAUUGCUGGAUUGCUGGAUUGCUGGAUUGCUGGAUUGCUGGAUUGCUGGAUUGCUGGAUUGCUGGUUGGAAAUAUCCUGACUACAAAGAUUGGAUUUGCCCCAAGGAACUCAACUCCAUAAUCAUCAAGAAAUAGUCUAAAGAGAUCUCUGCCCCUUUCCCCUCUAACCUUCUUUCUCUCCUACCCAGUAUUGAGGGGUUAGAAGGGAUUAGUGUGGAAUAUGGGUGGAGAAGGGUGGGGGAAAAAAGAACCCAAUAAAGUAGCACAAAAAAGCACACCUGCCCCAGCCCCAUGUGGAGCCGACCAUAGGAAGCGAACACAUCUGAUCAUCCUCAACUUCCAUGCUGGACUCUCAGCCUGAAGUGCAUCCCAAAUCGGAAAAUUCCAGAGACCCUCAGUCAGCCCUGUGGUGGCUCCCACUGCCAGCUUCGUCCAGCAAAUUUUCUUCAUAGUGGGCAGCAUCACACACCUCUCUAAACAAAUGCCAGCUCCUAGCGUGCCUGUUUUCUUUCCCCUCUGGUUCUCUGGUGACACUACAUCAAGGAAAGAGUACCACCGAGUUACACGUGGCCUUGGGAUACCUCCCAGGGACUGAAAAGAGAGAGCCAUUGUCCCGCUUUGACCCGAGGACAGUGUUGAGGAGGUGUCCUAAAGUCAUCUGAGUGUCUACCUGUCACCAGCUCCACUGUGUGUUACUAAGCUGACAACUCCAUGUUGAACUCAGACAAGGAGAUUGAACUUUCUACUUCUUCCAUGGGCUCCAAGGUAGUGAUAGAACUUGGCAAACUCACAAGCAGAGAACACAGAUUCUAACAUAAGGGUCAUGUCACACAGCAAAUCAAGCUAGGAGUGGAUGGAGCUGGGGGAGGCCAGACCCUGAGGAUGGAUACCAGAGCUGGGAGCCCAGAGAGUCAGAGAGUGAGCUGGUAGGGCUAGUGAACAUCUGGAGAGACUUCAGGGAGUGCUGAAUGCAAAGGCUGUAGUGUAGGAAUGAGUUAACAUGGUCUGACAGAUCGAGCCCCAGAGGGGAGCUAUUACCAGAGGGUUACCCAGGAUGGUGUCUCAGGACUAGAGAGUGAUGGGGCCAGCUAAAGACGGGACAGAUGAGAGUCAACAAAAGAUGAUCAUCCAGGCGACCUCUGGCCUCCCAACCUGCUCUCCUCUCUGCUCUAGCCAUACAGCUUCCCGUUGAUCGCCUCCCAUAACUGGUGCUCAGGACCAUUCCUUGCACUUUGCUUUGAUGCUUCACCCUGAUCGACAUUCCAGGUGAAGCCGGAGUCGGACCCUGGUGGUGCAGGACAGGGGGCUUUCCCCAACUCAGGCUAUGUAGUUCCUUUGCCAGUGGCCCAUUCAUUAGCAGGAAGAGGGUGGGCUCCUCUGACCAAGCUUUCAGACCCCUUGUCUACCUAGGCACAUACCUUCCCAUGCGCACACAUUAAUAUCACUGGUGGAACAUCCGUCACACUCCUAGUGCGUCACACAGGUAUUCCUAAACCUUUCCUCCUUGGCCCUCAGAGGCCCGCCAGCCAUUUAUACCCAUCACUCAGGGGAAAAUAAUGUCAUUUCUGUUAGACUCACCCUCUCCACAGAAGUGCUGUAACCAUGCAGAGAUGACAUUGCGGGCAGCUCAGCUUGUGUGAGUGAUGUAAUCUCGGGGCGUUGCCUAGCAACCCCAACAACGUUUGGGAGACUCUGAUUCUUGAGUGGGGUAAAGUCACAUU